UACGAAGGGGGCUAGCGUUGCUCGGAAUUACUGGGCGUAAAGGGCUCGUAGGCGGCCAACUAAGUCAUACGUGAAAUCCCUCGGCUUAACCGGGGAACUGCGUCUGAUACUGGAUGGCUUGAGUUCGGGAGAGGGAUGCGGAAUUCCAGGUGUAGCGGUGAAAUGCGCAGAUAUCAGGAAGAACACCAAUGGCGAAGGCAGCUCUCUGGGACGGUACUGACGCUGAGACGCGAAAGCGUGGGGAGCGAACAGG
rnacentral:rRNA from 1 species